AUACGGAGGGUGCAAGCGUUAAUCGGAAUUACUGGGCGUAAAGCGUACGUAGGCGGUCUGUUAAGUUAGAUGUGAAAGCCCCGGGCUUAACCUGGGAACUGCAUUUAAAACUGGCGAACUAGAGUUGAGUAGAGGGGAGUGGAAUUUCAGGUGUAGCGGUGAAAUGCGUAGAGAUCUGAAGGAACACCAGUGGCGAAGGCGACUCCCUGGACUCGAACUGACGCUGAGGUACGAAAGCGUGGGUAGCAAACGGGAUUAGAUACCCUAGUAGUCC
rnacentral:rRNA from 1 species